CCUGUGGCAGCAGCAGCCAGUGAGUGGCCCGGCGGGCACACCGCUCCCUCUGAUGCCCUGCCAACUAUUCAUCACUUAACAGGAAGAGGGGGAGAAAUCAGCCACGGCUGCCAAUUAUCAGGGAAAAACAGAAGGAAACUGGGACAGGGGAGACAACAUGGAGGAAGAACAUACAGACCAACAGACACAAUGUGUUAAAGGCAGACGGACAGACAGAUGGAAACAGACAGACGGACAGACAGAUUGACAGACAGACAGGAGUGUUUUUGACUUGUGCUUGCUGGGUUUUAUUCUUCGUCCACUUGGAAAGGUCAUUAACAGCCAGCUAGAACCACACAUAGAAGUUGAAACACUGCCGAGAUACAGGAUGACUCAAGCACAGAGGACCGGCGAGAUUUCACAGGGGCCUUACCGGCUGAUGAGAGAGAGAGAGAACAAAGCCAGGCGUGAACGACAGAAGAGAAAUAAAGGAGAAGAAAAGACAGGGGAACAAAAACACUGUCGGCCCUAAAUGUUCCUCCUGCACCUGACAGACAGGCAGACUGACACAUCCAUCCAUUCCCCCAGCCUGCCUUUGUUGCUAUAGAGACUGUUCCUGCUUUGACUCCAGCCUGAUUAAAGUCCACUGUUGGGCUAAGUGUGUGUUUGCCUUCACACAUACGGUUUUAGUCUAAUGAAAAACAAACUCUUUAUGAUAACCCACACACAGACAACACACAAACUCAUGGGAAUAUAGGAGAACACUAUAUAUAUCUAAAACCACAGGAAAACACUACACUGGUACAUUAACAUAGGAGAACACUAUAUAUAUCUAAAACCACAGGAAAACACUACACUGGUACAUUAACAUAGGAGAACACUAUAUAUAUCUAAAACCACAGGAAAACACUACACUAAUGCAUAAAGGUAUCUACUUUAUAUCCAAUACACAUGAAUAAUGUUUCUGUUCUGAGACAAAGUAAACACACAGAAAGAUCCUCAGGUCUAAAGUAGACUAACGAUGUGUAAGAAUGUAGUGUGUGUGUGUGUGUUUGUGUGAAACAGUAUGGAGAGAGUGUGUGUGCAUGUGUGUGUGUACUUUAAAGUGGACUACCUGCACAGCCUGCCAAAAGCGUCUUACCGCUGAAGGCCCUUUGAGGCCGUAUCAGACUCUUCAAUCGCUUAAUAAUCCUGGCUGGCGUGGAGCGGUGAGCGGCUGAGGCUGCCUUUGAAGUGUGUGUGUGUGUGAGGAACAGUGGAAGUGGAUCUGAAGGCAGGAGCAUGCACCGCUUACCAGAACUUAAUUAACAAUCUGCAGCUGGAACAGGGCCAACUCUCUCUCUCUCACAC